GACGAACGCUGGCGGCGUGCCUAAUACAUGCAAGUAGAACGCAGUUGCGAACGGGUGAGUAACGCGUAGGUAACUGCCUGGUAGCGGGGGAUAACUAUUGGAAACGAUAGCUAAUACCGCAUACUAACAGAUGGACCUGCGUUGUAUUAGCUAGUUGGUGAGGUAACGGCUCACCAAGGCAACGAUACAUAGCCGAACUGAGAGGGUGAUCGGCCCACCUGGGACUGAGACACGGCCCAGAACCCUACGGCAGGCAGCAGUAGGGAAUCUUCGGCAAUGGGGGGAACCCUGACCGCGCAACGCCGCGUGGGUGAAGAAGGUUUUCGGAGCGUAAAGCUCUUUUGUUAAGGAAGCGGUACUUAACCAGAAAGGGACGGCUAACUACGUGCCAGCCGCCGCGGUAAUUC
rnacentral:rRNA from 1 species